rnacentral:rRNA from 1 species
AAAUUCCUUGUCGGGUAAGUUCCGACCUGCACGAAUGGCAUAAUGAUGGCCACACUGUCUCCUCCUGAGACUCAGUGAAGUUGAAAUGUUUGUGAUGAUGCAAUCUCCCCGCGGCUAGACGGAAAGACCCCAUGAACCUUUACUGCAGCUUUGCAUUGGACUUUGAACCGAUCUGUGUAGGAUAGGUGGGAGGCAGUGAAGCUAGGACGCCAGUCUUAGCGGAGCCAACCUUGAAAUACCACCCUGAUUUGUUUGAGGUUCUAACCUAGGAGCGUAAUCCGCUUCGGGGACCGUGCAUGGUAGGCAGUUUGACUGGGGCGGUCUCCUCCUAAAGGGUAACGGAGGAGUGCGAAGGUACGCUAGGUACGGUCGGAAAUCGUGCUGAUAGUGCAAUGGCAAAAGCGUGCUUGACUGCGAGACCGACAAGUCGAGCAGAUACGAAAGUAGGUCAUAGUGAUCCGGUGGCUCUGCAUGGAAGGGCCAUCGCUCAACGGAUAAAAGGUACUCUGGGGAUAACAGGCUGAUACCGCCCAAGAGUUCAUAUCGACGGCGGUGUUUGGCACCUCGAUGUCGGCUCAUCACAUCCUGGGGCUGUAGCCGGUCCCAAGGGUAUGGCUGUUCGCCAUUUAAAGAGGUACGUGAGCUGGGUUUAAAACGUCGUGAGACAGUUUUGUCCCUAUCUGCCGUGGGCGUUGGAAGAUUGACGGGGGCUGCUCCUAGUACGAGAGGACCGGAGUGGACUCACCUCUGGUGUACCGGUUGUCACGCCAGUGGCAUCGCCGGGUAGCUAUGUGGGGAAAGGAUAACCGCUGAAAGCAUCUAAGCGGGAAACCUGCCUGAAGAUAAGUCUUCCUGGAGGCUUUGACCUCCCUGAAGAGUCGUUCGAGACCAGGACGUUGAUAGGUUGGAUGUGCAAGCGCUGUGAGGCGUUGAGCUGACCAAUACUAAUUGCUCGUGAAGCUUGAUCCU